CCUACGGGAGGCUGCAGUGAGGAAUAUUGGUCAAUGGACGAGAGUCUGAACCAGCCAAGUAGCGUGAAGGAUGACUGCCCUAUGGGUUGUAAACUUCUUUUAUAUGGGAAUAAAAUGUUCCACGUGUGGGAUUUUGUAUGUACCAUAUGAAUAAGGAUCGGCUAACUCCGUGCCAGCAGCCGCGGUAAUACGGAGGAUCCGAGCGUUAUCCAGAUUUAUUGGGUUUAAAGGGAGCGUAGGUGGAUUGUUAAGUCAGUUGUGAAAGUUUGCGGCUCAACCGUAAAAUUGCAGUUGAAACUGGCAGUCUUGAGUACAGUAGAGGUGGGCGGAAUUCGUGGUGUAGCGGUGAAAUGCUUAGAUAUCACGAAGAACUCCGAUUGCGAAGGCAGUUCACUGGACUGCAACUGACACUGAGGCUCGAAAGUGUGGGUAUCAAACAGGAUUAGAUACCCAAGUAGUC
rnacentral:rRNA from 1 species